rnacentral:rRNA from 1 species
UACAGAGGUCCCAAGCGUUGUUCGGAUUCACUGGGCGUAAAGGGUGCGUAGGCGGUCGGGUAAGUCUGAUGUGAAAUCUCACAGCUUAACUGUGAAACUGCAUUGGAUACUAUCCGGCUCGAGGAAUGGAGGGGAGACUGGAAUACUUGGUGUAGCAGUGAAAUGCGUAGAUAUCAUGAGGAAUACCAGAGGCGAAGGCGGCUACCUGGACAAUUGCUGACGCUCAGGCACGAAAGCGUGGGGAGCAAAAGGG